rnacentral:rRNA from 1 species
UACGGAGGGUGCGAGCGUUGUCCGGAAUCACUGGGCGUAAAGGGCGCGUAGGUGGUGGCUUAAGCGUGCGGUGAAAGCUCGGGGCUCAACUCCGAGUCGGCCGUGCGAACUGGGCUCACUGGAGCAUAGUAGAGGCAGGUGGAAUUCCCGGUGUAGCGGUGAAAUGUGUAGAGAUCGGGAGGAACACCGGUGGCGAAGGCGGUUACCUGGACAGUUACUGACGCUCAGGCACGAAAGCAUGGGGAGC